GAGAGCUGAUUAUACGUAAACUAUUCAACUAACUUAAACAGGUGAUAAAAGAUAUUUAUUUGGGUUAAAGUUUAAUGAAGCAAAAUAAGAACCUUCUUUCCCUCGGUUCUCCUCCCAUAAAACAACAAAAGUGGCACAGAAAUCUACCAUUUUUUUUACUGGGAAGCAGAUACUCCUCCGGUUCAAAAUAAGCGUCUACUUAACUAAUCAAAAGUAAUUAAUUUUAUUUUUCAGGUUUUCCUUAUUAAGUGCAAAGUGGUCAAAUUCAAUGUGUCAAAUUAAUAGAAAUAUGCAAAUUUUAACUAAGAAUCAUUUAGUCAAAAUACUUUUAUUCCCCCUAGAAAUUAGUAAUUUCUUGUGCUAAAGAUUAAGUUGAUACUUAUUUUGAACCGCAAGGAGUAGUAAAUACCAGAACAAAGAGAAACGAAGUAAAACGCAGAGUUUACAAACACACUUAGAUGGAAAAAACAAACAUGAACACAAUAAUUUUCCUGGAUGUGACCCAGGUACAAAUGAAAAUGGAGAAUUGAAUACCCUUUCUUUUGCCUAGAAAAUCGAAGAGUAACUAGUGGAGUGUUUUAGGUUAAAAUCAGUGUUGAAAUACACACAUAGACGGUGAAAAUACACAUACAUAAACAACAACAAAAAUAUGAAUGAUACCCAUGUACAGAUUACAGAUAAGGAACCAUACAAUUAUCCACAUGAAAAUUUAGAGCACAAAACACCCAUUCCUUUUUACUUGAAAAAACAGAGCAACUAUAAAAAAUAAAGGGGGCAUUGUUGAUAAAAACUUAAAAGCAGUGUUUAAUGUACUUAAAAGAAACAAAAAUGAAACCCGAAUAUUAGACCCUAUAUAACUGUUGUCAUAAACGUGACAGAUAAGAGAUAAAGAGCCAUAAACAUGAAAAUUAGACCCUAUAUAACUGUUGUCUUGCCUGCAAAAAAUAGAGUAAAUAGAAGAAAAAGGGAUGGAGUGUUGUUGGGGAAAAAACAGUUUUUACAUAACUCAAAGAUGGACAAAAACACUAAACAACAAUAUAAAUCUGACAUGCAUACGCAUAUACCAUAAACACAAAGCAAAAUGGAGAAUUUUUAUGAAGAAAAACAGAGUAAAUGCAAGAAAAGAAGAAGAGAGCAUCGUUGGUGGAAAAAAAACAAUGUUUACCUACUAAGUACACCCAUUGAUGGACGAAAUAGCGUAAAUAAAAAAUCUGAAUAUGACCCAUGGAGAGGUAUCUUAUGCCGAGUAUGAUGAGAGGGCUCGAGAAGAACUUGACAAAGCUGUAAGUGAAACUUUAAUUUCAUGGUUUUGUCAUUUCCUUUUUAUAUUUUAAUCAUGUAUUUUCUUAAUAGCUUGCGUUGGAUGAGACAUUACCACGACGCAAUGAUCGCUCGUGGUAAUUGCGCCUUGAAAUUAGGAGGCGAGGUGGGCCUUACUAAUGCUAAAAGUUGCUUCGACUAUGUCAUUGAAAAGGUCAGGGAAAUCAUGACGGACAACAUUGAGUCUUAGCCAAUGGUAUUAUGAUAUACUCCUAUCAAAUAUGUUAUCUUGCGUCGAUUGUUAGUGAUAUGGACGCGAGUUUAGGUGCUUUGCUUUGGGAAAAAAAACUUCAGUUUAGUUUGGUUAACAUCUUUCUUUAAGACAGCAGGUAUAUUGGUCUGUAAAGUUGGUUCCGAAGUCCAGAUAAGAUUUGUACUGAUUAGAAAAUAAAUACUCAUGCCGUAAUCUAGUUGGUGAAAGGAUGUGAUUCUCAAGGAAUGAAUUCUGUUGAAGUGCUCAACUCUGAUUAAUUGAAUCCCUCCAAAGAUAGAUCUAACACAUUGUAACUACUCCUGCCUAAAUGCAAUGACUAUAAAUUAUUUUGGAUGUGUAGCUUGGGCUUGGACAAGCCGACAGGGACACAGACAUGAGCCCAGGUCUAGCAAACUAAUGAGUUUUAUCAGUACACCUGCAUGUGUUGGUCUGUAUAUAUGACCUAAACUGAUUAAAAACAUUUAAGUCACGGGUGGACAUGAGAAAUUUUUAUAUGUUUUACACUAUUGUCUAUUAGCAGUUGCAUAUGUGGGUUAUUUCAGUGCUUAGUAACAAAUGUUUGGCUCCUCUAGGAUUUGCAAUUCCACUACUCAAUUGUACUCAAUAAUCGAUUUAUGUGUUUAGCAUCAAAGUAGAAAGGACUUAUUUCAAAGGCUGGCAAUGCUGGAAAUAAGAAUGUUGGAAGAAACAACUGGUACUAUGUUGCAUGUGAUCGUGAAGGCACAAAUUUUGUACUCACUGUGUUCGGCUAUUUCCGCACUGGAAUUGAAAACAAAGAUGAGGUCAUGCUGCUGGAUCCGGCCUACCAGUCAAUUCAUUUUCGAUGGAAAGGAAAGCAAUGCAGGUUCAAAUUGGUGCGGAUGAAUCUUCGGGAAAAACUCCUUGUGAAUGCUAUUCCAAUUCGUAAACCACCUUCUAUUGUGUAUAAGGGAAAAUCCAAGAUAAAUACUGUUGGUGGACAUGGAAACGCAUAAGUUUAGCUUCUUUUUUUCUUGGACAUUAAUCGUGCUUAUAGAAGAUGUGUUAGUAAGCUGUAGUGAUUUCUGGAUUUUUGAAGAUGUAUUAACGCUAUUCCAACUCCUGAUUUUUGGAUUUUUUUUCCUUCUCUUCUUUCUCCCACCUCUUCAGUUUCUUAUGUAAACAUUGUAAUGGUUGAAUAUGUCAUUUGUGGUAGAGUAGAAGGAACUUUACUGCCAUGGGAGUGGCCUUACUCUUGUAGAAACUCUAUUCUGCAUACACUUGUUUAUCUCUAUACAAGGGCUAUAUGUGGAGCGGAAAG